rnacentral:rRNA from 1 species
UAAUACGUAGGGAGCGAGCGUUGUCCGGAAUCAUUGGGCGUAAAGAGCGCGUAGGUGGGUAGGUCAGUCUGCUGUGAAAGUCAAAGGCUCAACCUUUGAAAGCCGGUGGAUACUGCUUAUCUAGAGUACGGAAGAGGCGAGUGGAACUCCUGGUGUAGCGGUGGAAUGCGCAGAUAUCAGGAAGAACACCGAUAGCGAAGGCAGCUCGCUGGGACGUUACUGACACUGAGGCGCGAAAGCGUGGGGAGCAAACAGG